rnacentral:lncRNA from 1 species
CGAUGAUCUACUAUUUGUUCUUCUGGUGAAGAAAAGGUUUUCUGAAACUGUGUUUAUCUUGUUUAGCACAUGAAAAGUUAGAAACAUGUGCAAGAAAGCGUAGAAGGGAAGGUAUUAUCUAUGGAUUCAUCCGUGAAUGAACUCUAAGAACUACAUCAAUGUCUCUAUUGGCUAUGUUUUUGGUAACAGAGAUUAUUGUAAGGACCAGUACCAAGUCUAUAAUUUUUUAAAUCUCCAUUGACUGGAAAACCUAUCACUGAGCCUGCCUAGCCAGUUCGCAGGUAACAUGAACCAU